CACCAGCCGUGCGCCCUCGCUGGGCGUCAGGGACAGGAAAAUCACUGCGGAGGCUGGGCUGCAGGAAGGUGGCUUCAGGACAAGUGAAGUUCAGUAACAGUUUGAAUACUGGUUUGGGAAUCAGAGGUACCUGAGCUCAAAUUUGCUAUUCUGCUAAUUAUCCAGAAGAAUAUCAGAUUUACAGGUGUUGGGAAAAUGGAGAACUGACAAGGAAUAGGCUGGACUUGAUCGUCAACAGCUGGAGAUUCCUAUAAUAAGUCAAACAACCAUUUCGCUUUUCCUGUCUGUGAAAUCAUCAAGUGGACGCAGCAGAGACAAGGCCUGGGAAGAUUUAUGUUUUUAAGGACCAGCAGACACGGAAUGUGGACUUGGCCCCAGAAGGAAGUGUUUUCCUGGGAUUCUGUUAGGAGCCCUCAGCGGUCUCUUCUGACUCCUCCUUCACAAGCCUGGGGCAGGUUUCCCAGCACCCCCCCCCCCCCCCCCCCGCCCUUCCCAGGGCCUGUGGGGGGUGAAAGGCAUCCCUGGGCUCCAGGGCCAGACCCCGGCUUUCUACGAGCCCCGGGUGGCCCUGUAAGGCGGCCGGCGGGCGUGUCCCAUUCUUAACCUCCCAGCCCGGCGAGGUCUGCACGAGUCCCCAGCUGACCGACGGCUGUACGUGACGAGGACUCCGCUUUUAUCUCUCCUUUGGCAGCCACAGCCCUCGGACUCCGCCCGCGUCCCAGCGCCCGGCCAGCUCCACCAGCCCUUCUGGGCGGGGUG